UCAAUGUAAUAAUGUCUGUUUUGUUAGCAUUAAAAUAAUAGAAUUUUUCUUACACUGCCCUUUUAUUACGCUUAGGCCUUACCUGUAUGACCCUACUGGAUAUGAAUGAGAAAGAACAUAUUGAAAUUGAGAAAAGAAGAUUUACAUGAUGAAAUCAACUCUAAGGAAAGAAGUAGUCAGGAAACCUGUUGAAAGAAAAUGAAAGCAAUGUAUUUCAGCAAUUACUUAAAUCCUGCAAGAAGAUCAUGUUUGAUGGGUUGCUUCCCUUUCCUGUAUCAUUUUCCCAAUAAUAUUAAGGCAGCGUGUAGAGCUGAAUGAAAACACUGGGCUCAGUAUCUAGGAAACCAGAAAUUUAGCCCUACUGCUGUCACUAUGAACUGUGAAUCUCUGCGC